CUGUCUAGCGUCCAACAAAUAAAUAACCACAUUUAAUUCAAGUGAGAAUGUCAAAAAUAUCGGACAUAAUUUACACACAAGAGAAUAAAAAAAAUAAACCUUUGUGACUAUUGUACAAAAAAAUCUAACUACUACUCUCAGUGCGAACUAUACACUCCGAGGCAGCAAAUCCCACAUCGUUCUGUAAUUAUAACAAACCACACUGUCACAAGACAUGGUAGUGUAUUUGGAUAUGAUGAUGGAUUAAGAGAGCAUUAUCAGGCUGCAUCUUUUCUCCUACCACUAAGUUCGAUCUGUGUGCUUGGUGCCGUGGUUUUGUUAAUGGUAUUAUUCAAAAGAUGUCCACACGUGAUCGCUGGACUCGUAAUCGGGCUUUUAGGUUCUAUCAUUUUAUUCAUAAUUUACAUGUCAAUUAAUAACGCACCCAUUUAUACUUGACUCGACACAUGAAAUUUUACAAAAUUUACCUAUUUAGCUUUUGAAAAGCUUAACAGAAGAAAUACUGUAAAUAAAUGUUUCGACAUUGAUGCGCAAAGCAAAAUCUACAAUUCUUGUAGCAAUUGUAAAUCUGGAUAACUGAUGUGCUGGAAACAUUCAAAUAUACUCACAAUUCACACACUCAGCUGCACAGUUUCAUCGAAAUCAUGUCCUCUGAGACUCGUACAACCAUUUCGACGUAAUAAUCCAACAUUUCUUUGAGUUCUUCAUAGCUCUGAAGGAAGAAGAAAGCGAUUAUUUUCAAAAUUCUUUUAUGCAUCUUCGAAGUUGAAGUUCAUGUAUUGAAAGUUUACCUCUAUAUACUUCUCAUCCGUUUUACUGGCAUGCUCAAGUUCUAAUAACAGGAGUUCUAACGUAUUUAAAGGCAGCCACGUGGCAGGCGCUGUAGCUACCAGCGAUGUUUCUAGGCCAAAAUAUUCUUUUCCUCUUCCCAUAACAGCUCCAAUGUAUUCCAAAGCUAAAACAUUUGCCUCUAACAGGCGUCCAGCAUUUAAAAUAAGUCGCAGAAGUUCGGCGGGAUCACGUUUCUGAAAUUACAAUCGUUUGCAAAAUCUACGCCAAACUAUAUUGUAAUAACGCUAUCCUAGUGAAAAGUACUGCAUAUGGAAACUCACUUUGUAGGAGGACAUUAACCACUGCGGAAGAAAAGCGCCAUGAUGUAAUAGCUUUCUAGCAACCGCUUUGUGCAAUUCACUGCCAACUUUUUUCUCAUGUUUUAAUAUGAGAUGUUCCAACAGUUUCCAAGCAAUAUUCGUCACGUUUGAAUCUGAUACGCCUUCAUC